rnacentral:rRNA from 1 species
UACGAAGGGAGCAAACGUUGCUCGGAAUCAUUGGGCGUAAAGCGCACGUAGGCGGCUUUGCAAGUCGGGUGUGAAAUCCCGGGGCUCAACCGAGGACGUGCAUCCGAAACAGCAGGGCUUGAGUACAGAAGAGGAUGGCGGAAUUCCCAGUGUAGAGGUGAAAUUCGUAGAUAUCAGGAGGAACACCAGUGGCGAAGGCGGCGAUCUGGGCUGAUACUGGCGCUGAGGUGCGAAAGCGUGGGGAGCAAACAGG